rnacentral:sRNA from 1 species
UCUCGAUAUCGAGAAAGACUGCGGCCGC